rnacentral:rRNA from 1 species
GGAUCAUUGUCGAAAUCGAACGGAAGAACGACCCGCGAAUCGUCAUUGCGUAGUAGACAGAGCCCGUGAGCACCUAACGCUCACGGGUCUCGCGUCGCGUCGGCGCGGGUGUACUCGAGACCCGCGGCGUACCGGCGGACAAACAACGUCAGCACGGAUCGUGCCAAGGAGCUGCAUGGAGAGAAUCGUCGUCCCACGCCUUUGAUAGUCCUCGACGCGGGACGGGGGAUGUACGCAAUCUCUACUCAAGUCUAAACGACUCUCGGCAACGGAUAUCUCGGCUCUUGCAUCGAUGAAGAACGUAGCGAAAUGCGAUACUUGGUGUGAAUUGCAGAAUCCCGUGAACCAUCAAUUCUUUGAACGCAAGUUGCGCCCGAAGCCAUUCGGCCGAGGGCACGCCUGCCUGGGCGUCGUGAAUCCCCUUGCCCCUAGGCACCCGCAUGAGCAUUGGCGGGGAUAUAUGCUCGGGCGCAGAAUAUGGUCUCCCGUGCGAUCGGCAUGCACGGCAUGUCGAGGUGCGGUUGGCCGAAAAUCGAGCAUGGCGGUGACGGGCACCACGACGUUCGGUGGAUCGAACGAGAUUGGCUGCGUCGUGGGCUCGGCAUGCGGCGGGCUCCGGACUUUGAAUAUCCCCGAGUGCGAUCCCAGGUCAGGCGGGGCUACCCGCUGAGUUUAAGCAUAUCAAUAAGCGGAGGAAAAGAAACUAACGAGGAUUCCCUUAGUAGCGGC